CAGCUUGUUGGUGAGGUAAAAGCUCACCAAGGCGACGAUCCUUAGCGGGUCUGAGAGGAUGAUCAGCCACACUGGGACUGAGACACGGCCCAGACUCCUACGGGAGGCAGCAGUGGGGAAUAUUGGACAAUGGGCGAAAGCCUGAUCCAGCAAUGCCGCGUGAGUGAUGAAGGCCUUAGGGUUGUAAAGCUCUUUUACCCGGGAUGAUAAUGACAGUACCGGGAGAAUAAGCUCCGGCUAACUCCGUGCCAGCAGCCGCGGUAAUACGGAGGGAGCUAGCGUUAUUCGGAAUUACUGGGCGUAAAGCGCACGUAGGCGGCUAUUCAAGUCACAGGUGAAAGCCUGGAGCUCAACUCCAGAACUGCCUUUGAAACUAGAUAGC
rnacentral:rRNA from 1 species